UUUUUUUUUUUUUUUUUUUUUUUUUUUUUUCGCAAACAUCUGUUGGUGUACUGAAAACAAACGAUGAAAGCCUAC
rnacentral:ribozyme from 1 species